GCCGAUCAGGGGAAACUAAACCAAUUUAACACAGAAAGAAGGCAGAAUGAUCUGAACCAAAGCAUUAAAGGAUCUAUUAACCAGAAGAGGAAAACACCAAAAUGUGAGACGUUUCAAUCAGAGGGUCAGCGGGGAGCUGCAGCCGAUCCCAGCCGUCACCAGCCACAGACGGGACGCUCCGCCGACAGGCCGGCAGUCCAUCACCGGGCCAACACAAGGAGACACCCGGAGGGACAGAGCUGUUGGGAAGAGUGGUGGCGAUAAAUGACGGCAGUGUUGGAAGAAAACCUGGUAGAGGCUGCAGAAGACUUGAGACUGGGGUGAAAGUUCACGUCCACCAAGACAACCAACCAGAACGCAGCUGGCUAAAACUUGAACAGCUUUAAAAGUCAUGCGACCUGGACUGAUGUAGACGACGUCACGAACCACCACAUUUCAUGCAAGAUAAAUGAAGCUCCGCAAACACUGUUCCAUUAAAAUUUUAACAGUAUCAGGCUUCACUUAUGAAGCAGGUAGAACUGCAGCCAUAGAAAAUCCUCAACAAGGUUACAUUCACAAAACAUAUGACUUCCCAGUUUUAUCCCAUCUGUAAGUCUAAAUGCUAAAGGAGAUGAGCAAUUCAGCACCGUGGAGGCAGAAAACAUCCCAGAGAGGAAGCAGUCUGCAGCUGCAGAGCAUGAAACAAAGAUUUUAUGUUGGAUUGCAGCUCCUACAAAGUGACUGACUCUACUGAGACAGACGCCUGACACGCGAGCUUCCCGUUUGUUCAGCGAUCCAGGCAGGUUGGUGACUUCAACAGGGAAGAUGUGUGCAGGAAGUGACAGCUGAAAGACAAAGAAUGCAAAACUGACACAAAGCAUAAUGCUAACGCACACCCACAACAAGAGUCAAUUUAGGAUCUCUGCUCAACACAUCAAGCAUCAUUUGGACUGGAGAAUCUGGAACAUUACAAAACAGAAACAAGAGUUAAAUCAAGGAAUUUAUGUGGCAGAUUUUGUGCCAAACAACAGGAGAUUUCUUCAAGCUUUCUAACUAAAGAAAACAACAAACUUGCUUUUUAUUUUCGCAGACUUUAAAAUUCAUCAGUGAAACAUGUUUUAGCAGCAUCUGCUUGAAUUGCAUUCCAAUAUGUCACAGAAAAUAAAAACCAGUUUGCA